rnacentral:rRNA from 1 species
UACGUAGGGGGCAAGCGUUAUCCGGAAUUACUGGGUGUAAAGGGAGCGUAGACGGUGAUGUAAGUCUGGAGUGAAAGGCGGGGGCCCAACCCCCGGACUGCUCUGGAAACUAUAUGACUGGAGUGCAGGAGAGGUGAGCGGAAUUCCUAGUGUAGCGGUGAAAUGCAUAGAUAUCACGCAGAACUCCGAUUGCGAAGGCAGCAUACCGGCGCCCGACUGACGCUGAAGCACGAAAGCGUGGGUAUCGAACAGG